rnacentral:lncRNA from 1 species
CUCCACUUGGCCAAGAGCUGAGCCCCUCCCCAUACACCCUCCUCCAUGGGCACAGCUGCAAUCCUCUCACAUCCUUGAAACCCCUUAAAAGGUCCAUCCUAACAGAGACUAGGGCCGACAUCUCUCUUGAUGUCUGGCCCCUCCCCUCCCUUGGAGAGUGAAUAAACUCUGUCCUACUUGUUGCUCUACUCUGUGCAAUUCUUAGUGGCCCGUGUCACCAGCCACCCUAACAAGCACCUUCUUUUGUUUCUCAAACUUUUUGAAGAGGUCAAAGAAAGAUUUUUACCUGGAGGUCAGGUCUGCCCUAAAUUGGCCUGUUUCUUUCAGAACCUUCUGGAUUUUGUCUCUGGCAAGUUCCUUGUGUUUCCGAGCCUCCUCCAUCAUCUGGUACAGAAUCGCCUCAAACCUGUCCGUGAUCUAACAGUAUCUCCACAUGAGGCCCCUGAGCUCCUGUGGAGCUCCUCAAACUUGCUCUUCAGCAGCAGGUUCUCGUUUUGCGCGGCUCCCACUGCAGCAUCCGGGUCCUUCUGCCUGCGCCGCAGCACGUUCAGCAUGGGCCCCGCGGGCAGCAGCUGCCACCACGGAGCACAGACAGACCGACCACCCAGCAGGGGAACACUUGCAGUUCCUAGGGAGCCAGGCUCCAGCAGCCUCGCCUCAGGCGCACUUCCUGAGGGAGGCGCCUGCGUCCUGCGCACGGCGUGUGUCAGGCCCAAUGAUGGCGCGGGUCUCCAAAGACUCUCCUUCCGGAGUGGGUGGAACUCCAGGAACAAGGACAGUACCCUCAAGGCCGACCCCUUAAACGAAGUCCCACACUGCCCCAGACUGUGCACCUCAGGUGGGUCUCGUCGUUCAGGGCCGAGGCAGGCUCUGACCCCCGCUGACGCGACCGAGGCUCCUGCUCAGUGGCUGGUGGGCACCCAGGCGGCGGGAGGACUUACCUCCCUGGUGUGGGACGCACCAACUGGAGAGUCUUCCGCUGAGGCUGAAAGUGCUUGUCUGCUGGGAGUUUUCCUGGAGCUUCUUUGGUGAUAGUCCUGCACUGCCCAUUGCUGUGGUUUCCAAUCUUCCAUCAGGUAUGAUAUUCAGAGGCCGCUUAUGUCUUUUUUGCUCAUGGCUUGUGGAGACCCUGCCGUUGUAUUAAGUCAGCACCAGGUCUGAACUUUACUCUCUUUGCAUUGACUUCCUCAGCUAUUUAUUCUCAAUUUGGUACUCAGGUUUUAUUAGUUUCAGUUUGUUUAGCAUCCUUGGUAGAAACGGGUAAUUUUUUUUCAUCCUUUUUUGUUCUUUUUAGCUUGUUUUUGUAUUGUGCUGCCUAACAGUGUUAUCUGUGAUAAGAAGGAGAAUCACAGGUUGAAUCUCAAGUCAAAAUUAGGCAUAGUCCUUAUAAGCCUAUUGUUGGAGCUAGCGAGUUUAGAAGACUAGUGAAUUUGCGAUUCUCAUCAAACAUGCAUCUGUUUGGACACAAUUUACUGUGGGUCACAAGUAAAACUGCAUGAGUUUAUCCUUCCACCUUCAAUUUUUGUCCUGUGAGACCAGUGAGAAUGUCUUGUCUAGUUUUCCAUCUGUUAUAUAUAUAGGGAUGCAAACUAUCAGGUCUGUGUUCAGAGGUGGCCAGCAGUGAGAUUGGGAAACCAAGAUGUAAAGUACACAAAUAUUGCUUUAGAGCAAUACUCCUAUUAUAAAUCCUAUGCUCCUCCAGGAAUAGUCUCCUGUUUCUUAUAUUCUUGUAUACCCUCCUUACAAUCCUAAUUAUUUUUUCUGUCUCUAUAAAUUUUAUAAUGUCAACAAGAAUGAUUUGUGAGAGAUGUUUAAUUUGAGCAAAAUUGUUUAUGUGAGAGGUUCCUUAGGAAAGAAAGGGAAUAAGAUUUGUCAGGCCUAGGGGACAGCAUUAUUUAUUAGUAUAUAGGGUCCUCCAAACAAAAU